CAGCCGCCGCGGUAAUACGUAGGGUGCGAGCGUUAAUCGGAAUUACUGGGCGUAAAGCGUGCGUAGGCGGUGAGUUAAGCCUGCUGUGAAAUCCCCGGGCUCAACCUGGGAAUGGCAAUGGAUACUGGCAAGCUAGAGUGUGUCAGAGGAUGGCGGAAUUCCCGGUGUAGCGGUGAAAUGCGUAGAGAUCGGGAGGAACAUCAGUGGCGAAGGCGGCCAUCUGGGACAACACUGACGCUGAGGCACGAAAGCGUGGGGAGCAAACAGGAUUAGAUACCCGCGUAGUCCCUGUCUCUUAUAC
rnacentral:rRNA from 1 species